rnacentral:rRNA from 1 species
GACGAACGUUGGCGGCGUGCUUAACACAUGCAAGUCGAACGGAAAGGCCCUGCUUUUGUGGGGUGCUCGAGUGGCGAACGGGUGAGUAACACGUGAGUAACCUGCCCUUGACUUUGGGAUAACUUCAGGAAACUGGGGCUAAUACCGGAUAGGAGCUCCUGCUGCAUGGUGGGGGUUGGAAAGUUUCGGCGGUUGGGGAUGGACUCGCGGCUUAUCAGCUUGUUGGUGGGGUAGUGGCUUACCAAGGCUUUGACGGGUAGCCGGCCUGAGAGGGUGACCGGCCACAUUGGGACUGAGAUACGGCCCAGACUCCUACGGGAGGCAGCAGUGGGGAAUAUUGCACAAUGGGCGGAAGCCUGAUGCAGCAACGCCGCGUGCGGGAUGACGGCCUUCGGGUUGUAAACCGCUUUCGCCUGUGACGAAGCGUGAGUGACGGUAAUGGGUAAAGAAGCACCGGCUAACUACGUGCCAGCAGCCGCGGUGAUACGUAGGGUGCGAGCGUUGUCCGGAUUUAUUGGGCGUAAAGGGCUCGUAGGUGGUUGAUCGCGUCGGAAGUGUAAUCUUGGGGCUUAACCCUGAGCGUGCUUUCGAUACGGGUUGACUUGAGGAAGGUAGGGGAGAAUGGAAUUCCUGGUGGAGCGGUGGAAUGCGCAGAUAUCAGGAGGAACACCAGUGGCGAAGGCGGUUCUCUGGGCCUUUCCUGACGCUGAGGAGCGAAAGCGUGGGGAGCGAACAGGCUUAGAUACCCUGGUAGUCCACGCUGUAAACGGUGGGUACUAGGUGUGGGGUCCAUUCCACGGGUUCCGUGCCGUAGCUAACGCUUUAAGUACCCCGCCUGGGGAGUACGGCCGCAAGGCUAAAACUCAAAGGAAUUGACGGGGCCCCGCACAAGCGGCGGAGCAUGCGGAUUAAUUCGAUGCAACGCGUAGAACCUUACCUGGGUUUGACAUGGAUCGGGAGCGCUCAGAGAUGGGUGUGCCUCUUUUGGGGUCGGUUCACAGGUGGUGCAUGGCUGUCGUCAGCUCGUGUCGUGAGAUGUUGGGUUAAGUCCCGCAACGAGCGCAACCCUUGUUCACUGUUGCCAGCACGUUAUGGUGGGGACUCAGUGGAGACCGCCGGGGUCAACUCGGAGGAAGGUGGGGAUGACGUCAAGUCAUCAUGCCCCUUAUGUCCAGGGCUUCACGCAUGCUACAAUGGCUGGUACAGAGAGUGGCGAGCCUGUGAGGGUGAGCGAAUCUCGGAAAGCCGGUCUCAGUUCGGAUUGGGGUCUGCAACUCGACCUCAUGAAGUCGGAGUCGCUAGUAGUCGCAGAUCAGCAACGCUGCGGUGAAUAAGUUCCCGGG